GAAAGCCUGACGGAGCAAGACCGCGUGCGGGAAGAAGGUCUGUGGAUUGUAAACCGCUUUUGAUAGGGAAGAUGAUGACGGUACCUAUCGAAUCAGCCUCGGCUAACUCCGUGCCAGCAGCCGCGGUAAUACGGAGGAGGCAAGCGUUAUCCGGAAUUAUUGGGCGUAAAGCGUCCGCAGGUGGUUUGUCAAGUCUGCUGUCAAAGCGCGGAGCUUAACUCCGUAAAGGCAGUGGAAACUGACAGGCUAGAGUGCGAUAGGGGCAGGGGGAAUUCCCAGUGUAGCGGUGAAAUGCGUAGGUAUUGGGAAGAACAUCGGGGCGAAAGCG
rnacentral:rRNA from 1 species